rnacentral:rRNA from 1 species
CCUACGGGGGGCAGCAGUGGGGAAUAUUGGACAAUGGGCGAAAGCCUGAUCCAGCCAUGCCGCGUGUGUGAAGAAGGCCUUCGGGUUGUAAAGCACUUUCAGUGGGGAAGAAAGCCUUGGGGCUAAUACCCUCGAGGAAGGACAUCACCCACAGAAGAAGCACCGGCUAACUCCGUGCCAGCAGCCGCGGUAAUACGGAGGGUGCGAGCGUUAAUCGGAAUUACUGGGCGUAAAGCGCGCGUAGGCGGUCUGAUAAGCCGGUUGUGAAAGCCCCGGGCUCAACCUGGGAACGGCAUCCGGAACUGUCAGGCUAGAGUGCAGGAGAGGAAGGUAGAAUUCCCGGUGUAGCGGCGAAAUGCGUAGAGAUCGGGAGGAAUACCAGUGGCGAAGGCGGCCUUCUGGACUGACACUGACGCUGAGGUGCGAAAGCGUGGGUAGCAAACAGGAUUAGAUACCCGAGUAGUC